rnacentral:rRNA from 1 species
CCUACGGGUGGCAGCAGUGAGGAAUAUUGGUCAAUGGGCGUAAGCCUGAACCAGCCACGUCGCGUGAGGGAUGAAGGUUCUCUGGAUCGUAAACCUCUUUUAUAAGGGAAUAAAGUGUGGGACGUGUCCUAUUUUGUAUGUACUUUAUGAAUACGGAUCGGCUAACUCCGUGCCAGCAGCCGCGGUAAUACGGAGGAUCCGAGCGUUAUCCGGAUUGAUUGGGUUGAAGGGGUGCGUAGGCGGACUGUAAGUCAGCGGUGAAAGGCUGUGGCUCAACCAUAGAAUUGCCGUUGAAACUGGGGGGCUUGAGUAUGUGAGAGGCAAGCGGAAUGCGUGGUGUAGCGGUGAAAUGCUUAGAUAUCACGCAGAACCCCAGUGGCGAAGGCAGCCUACCAGGCUAUAACUGACGCUGAUGCACGAAAGCGUGGGGAUCAAACAGGAUUAGAUACCCCUGUAGUC